UCCCUUGUAGCUCAGUUGGUAAAGAAUCUGCCUGCAAUGCAGGAGACCUGGGUUCGAUCCCCAUGUUGGAA
rnacentral:tRNA from 1 species